UACGUAGGGGGGCAAGCGUUGUCCGGAAUCAUUGGGCGUAAAGAGCGUGUAGGCGGCCCGAUAAGUCCGCCGUGAAAGUCCAGGGCUCAACCCUGGGAUGCCGGUGGAUACUGUCGGGCUCGAGUCCGGAAGAGGAGUGUGGAAUUCCUGGUGUAGCGGUGAAAUGCGCAGAUAUCAGGAGGAACACCAAUGGCGAAGGCAGCACUCUGGGACGUGACUGACGCUGAGACGCGAAAGCGUGGGGAGCGAACAGG
rnacentral:rRNA from 1 species